rnacentral:RNase_P_RNA from 1 species
GAAGUGCGCCGGGUAAUCGCGUUCCCUGUAAAAGGGGAAGGAGGAAAGUCCGAACUUCGCAGAGCAUGCUGCCCGGAUAACGUCCGGGAGGCGGUGACGCCAUGGAAAGUGCCACAGAGAACAGACCGCCACGAUGAAAAUCGGGGUAAGGGUGAAACGGCGGUGUAAGAGACCACCAGUGAGUGUGGUAACACAUUCAGCUUGGUAAACCCCAGCAGGAGCAAGGCCAUGUAGGAAGGCAAUAGGACUGCUCGUCCGUGUCUUCGGGUAGGCCGCUUGAUUCCGGUAGUAAUGCCGUGAACAGAUCAAUGAUUACCAAACCUGCCGGCCGGUGGCAAACAACCGGCAGGGUGAACAAAAUUCGGCUUACAGGUGCACUUCCGUC